AGAUGUUCCUUUGAUUACGUAAGGUAAAAUGGCGUCGAAGUUAGUGAUAAGCGGCGUUCCCGAAGAUCUAAAUGACGCCUUCCUCGACUCCACAGCCCAAAGUGAAGACAUGACGGACCUCAAGAUUGACCAACACGACGAGUUACCUGAUUUAAAAGACGGCGCAUAAUUAUGCAACGUCUGAUCAUAACCAACGGCGACAAUCCCCAUCAGAACGUGUGUGCCGCCAGGAAGGACCAUCACACAGGCUGAUAAACGGAAGGUACUAGACGACCACAGGAGGAGGAUGGUCAACAGUGGUGGUGAUAGUGUUGAUGGGAGGACCACCAACAUGUUUAUCCACCAGCCCCAUAGAGCAUCUACGUAUACUGAACGUCACAUCUAUGUAUGCUCGCUCCUCAGAUCAGCCAUCACACCAGACCAGGACCAGGACCUGUACGAGAGAAGGAAUACUGUGGUCUACCUUACAGUAUGUUAUUGAGUUAGUUACUUUACAGUAGAAGUAAGUGGCCACACCAGUACUUAACAGAUUAUUUAACUAUGUUGAGUUUUGGUGUUGCUGUGUUAUUUGAACCUUUCUAUAGAUUUGUAAACUGACUUUAGACGGUGUUUAAGAUUAGGUUUCUAACAGUUAAAACUGUGGUUAAGUUGUGUGGAAGUGAGACAAUGACUUAGCACUAUGCUGAAGGUGUUUAAAAGUGAGAAAGUGACUUAUAGUGAAGUUUGUAGAAGUGAGGAUAUUAGUUUAAAAAAUUGUGUAUGGGAGAAAAUGACUAAUUACCUUCAUGAGAUUUAGAGUAUAGUUUAAUUUUUAUACAAGAAGUUGGAGGUCAAUACUGUAGGCGUAAUAUUUUUUAGGGUUUAAAAUUCUUCCUUUUCCGCGGAUCAUUUACAGUGAAAGGUACAGUGCAGAGUGAGAGAAGGCUGGUUGUAUAUUAAGGUUGAGAGAGGAAAGGCUGUACAGUACUGUACUAAGUUAAUGGAUCGGGAAGACUGCCGGACGUAUGACUGACGAGUAUUACAGUAAAGGAGGGAAAGCUGUUGAGUGUAUGACUAAGAUAAUACAGUACUGAAGUUGUAUGAGCAAGAGAAAAGGCUGGUGAUGUGAAUUAAAACUGUGCUGAAAUAAUGAAUAAUUGAGGGAAACUUGACUAGAAUGUAAGAUUUACUGUACUGAAGCAGAUAAAGAGUGAGGGAGGACUGUAGACUAGACUGAAGUUUUAUACAAGUGAAGGAAGGAUUUGUAUUACUUAAUCUGCACUGGAUUUCUUUCUUUCUUUCUUUCGUUUCUUCCACAUCCUAGGUUAGGUUUUAUUUCAUCAGAGCCAACCAUAAAGAGAGUCAUCUAUUAACUGCAGCUGACCCCACCAUAG